rnacentral:lncRNA from 1 species
CGCCGACAUCCUCUGCCCUAAUGCCGUAGUCCAUCGCCGAGAACACAGAGAGAGGAGUGGAGGUCUACGGCGCCGCCGACGUCGUCUGUGGCCAUCACUGUCGUUCAGUACUCGCGUAAAGAUUUCGGGGAAGCUUCGUGCCGUGAGGGACCUGGGCGGACCUCUCUCGCAUGGGAAUUUGGCUGGACUCGCCGGGAAUUUCUCUCCGUCGCUCACGGUUCGCCGCCGACCACAUCACGACGUGGCCAGACUCAUCCGACCGCUCCUACACCGGUAAGACUCCUCCUGUGUGCCUCGCCUAGUUCCGCGGUCAACGUAGCACUCGUCUGGUAGGGAUUACAGCUCGGAUGCCUGGUUCUGCAUGUUCCGAUGAGGUCGCUACCGUAGCCUGGUGACCGUCGUGCUCGCUCUGGUGCGCGUAGGGUCGACGAUGAGGGCGCAACCGUUGGAUUCAGCAAACGGUUUAGAUUACAUGGAUGAGGCUAGUGAACCAGAGCCGUUGAUUUUUCAGCACAUGGCCACGAUUAGACCAUAGGUACCGAUUCGUAUAAACGAACCCGGUGCGUUGAUCGGCCUCUGGACGCGUAAUAUUGCGUCGGUGGAUUUUAAAUUAGAGUCGUUGUUCGGCCAAUGGGUGGCGUGGAUCCGAGCCAGUCUAACCCCUUCACGCGAUGUAAUCUGGAUCGUCCAGAUCUAAUCCAAUGGCCUGUGUCCUGCGAUACCCCUUCGCAAGCACGUUUUGCAUAAGAAACCCUACAGUUCGGGGUAAUCAACCCGCGGUUCAUGAAAGCCGAGCCCUGUGUCUUAGACUCUUUGUGCUUUAGACCCUGUACUCCUAAGAAAUUGUUGCGCAGUCCAGGAAUUAAAGGAAACAAAAAAAUAGAUUUAGAAAUUGAUUUUGAGUAUAAAAAUAAUUGUAAAAUUACAUAAUUCAUAGAAAAUUCAUAAGAAGUCCAAAUUAAUCCAUUCCAAUUCCUAUAAUUUUGUAAUAUUAUUGUUUAUCAUCUAGUAUCACUGUUUUGACAUGAAAGUCAGAUAAAAAAAUUUAUAUCCUAUUUAAUCUUGUACAAAACACAUAGAAUCGUUAGAAAUUCAUAACUUAAAAUCUAUAACUCCAAAUUGACCCGUUCCAGUUGCGUUAGCUUCAUAUGAACAUUUACUAAGCAAUAACGAUAUUUAUUAUACCAUGUCUCAUUCUUUUAUAAUUAGAUCUUUAUUUAACUUAUGUUGGUUAGUCUUGUUAAUCUGCUUAUCAUAAUAAUCUACUAAUAUCUGAUCUAUGGUCAAUUUAUAAUUUAGAUUAAAGUUGAAUUAAUUACUACUUUAGGUCAUCUUUUCUCUGGAAUUAUAAAAUAAAUAUAGAACCUAGUUUUAACUUGAUGACCACGACUCCGACCUUAGUAGUUCUCGAUCCCACGAUCUCGUAGCAACGCGUAGAUUAUCAUUAUGCAGUUUGUUCUUAUGUUUGGUGUGAUGUUAAUUUUGUCUAUACCAUGUCUGUUUGUAUUUCUACGACUAGCAGUGAGGUCACGAGGAUUGAAGAAUCACCCUAGUACCUGGAAUCUCAAGUCCCAGGCAAGUUGUGUCCUUGAUCACUUUUGUUUACCCAAUAAUGUUCUUUAUUAUCACUAUUCAAUGCAUAGGUUUAAUUUUGAUGGGACCGAAUAGGUCACCCUAGUCUGUUUCUCUUUUU